rnacentral:rRNA from 2 species
AUAAGCUAUUAAGGGCUAAUGGUGGAUGCCUUGACUGUAAGAGGCGAUGAAAGACGUAUUAGGCUGCGAUAAGCCUCGGGGAGCUGCCAAAGAGCUUUGAUCCGGGGAUUUCUGAAUGGGGCAACCCAAUAUAAUGAGAAUUAUAUUACCCUACGGGGAGCGAACCUGGUGAAGUGAAACAUCUCAGUAGCCAGAGGAAGAGAAAUCAAUUGAGAUUCCGUCAGUAGCGGCGAGCGAACGCGGAUUAGGACAAACCCAAUGCUUGCAUUGGGGGUUGUAGGACUAUAAUGUGUAGUUAAAGAGAAUAGAUGAAUUAGUUGGAAAGCUAGAGCAUAGAAGGUGAUACUCCUGUAAUUAAAAUUCUCAAUAACGCUAAUAGUAUCCUGAGUAGGUCGGAACACGUGAUAUUUUGACUGAAGCUGGGGGGACCACCCUCCAAUCCUAAAUACUACUUACAGAUCGAUAGUGAACAAGUACCGUGAGGGAAAGGUGAAAAGUACUGCAGCGAGCAGAGUGAAAUAGAACCUGAAACCAUUAGCUUACAAUCAUUCAGAGCCCUAUGAUUUAUCAGGGUGAUGGACUGCCUUUUGCAUAAUGAGCCUGCGAGUUGUGGUGUCUGGCAAGGUUAAGCCAAGUGCGAAGCCGUAGCGAAAGCGAGUCUUAAUAGGGCGACAUAGUCAGAUGCUGCAGACCCGAAACGAAGUGAUCUAUCCAUGAGCAGGUUGAAGCUGGUGUAAGAGCCAGUGGAGGACCGAACCCGCUGACGUUGAAAAGUCUUGGGAUGACUUGUGGAUAGGGGUGAAAGGCCAAUCAAACUUCGUGAUAGCUGGUUCUCUCCGAAAUAUAUUUAGGUAUAGCCUUGUGUUGUAGCAUAUAGGGGUAGAGCACUGAAUGGGCUAGGGCUGCUUACCGCGGUACCAAACCCUAUCAAACUAUGAAUACUAUAUGUGGAAUCACAGGAGUCAGGCGGUGGGUGAUAAAAUCCGUCGUCAAGAGGGGAACAACCCAGACUAACAGCUAAGGUCCCUAAGUUACAUCUAAGUGGAAAACGAUGUGGAGUUACUGUGACAACCAGGAGGUUGGCUUAGAAGCAGCCAUCCUUUAAAGAAAGCGUAACAGCUCACUGGUCUAGUGAUUCUGCGCGGAAAAUAUAACGGGGCUAAGAUGUACACCGAAGCUUUAGAUUCAAUUUUUAAUUGAGUGGUAGGAGAGCGUUCUAUUCAGCGUUGAAGGUAUACCGGUAAGGAGUGCUGGAGCGGAUAGAAGUGAGCAUGCAGGCAUGAGUAGCGUUAAAACAGGUGAGAAUCCUGUUCGCCGAAAACCCAAGGUUUCCUACGCGAUGCUCGUCAUCGUAGGGUUAGUCGGGUCCUAAGUCGAGUCCGAAAGGGGUAGACGAUGGCAAAUUGGUUAAUAUUCCAAUACCAACAUAUAAGCGCGAUGUGGGGACGCAUAGAGUUAAUCGAGGUCACGGAUGGAAGUGUGGCUCGAAGGAUGUAGGUUGUUAAGUAGGCAAAUCCGCUUAACGUUAGACCGAGAUCUUACAGGCUCUUGACACUCUUCGGAGGAGAUGGAGAAUCGAUGAUACUGUCGUGCCAAGAAAAGCCACUAAGUAUAUUAUAUGUUGCCCGUACCGUAAACCGACACAGGUGGGUGGGAUGAGUAUUCUAAGGCGCGUGGAAGAACCCUCUUUAAGGAACUCUGCAAACUAGCACCGUAUCUUCGGUAUAAGGUGUGCCUACUUUGGUAUAUGGACUUGCUCCAAAAAGCUAAAGAGGUUGCAACAAAGAGUCCCUCCCGACUGUUUACCAAAAACACAGCACUUUGCUAACACGUAAGUGGAUGUAUAAGGUGUGACGCCUGCCCGGUGCUCGAAGGUUAAUUGAUGAUGUCAGCGCAAGCGAAGCAUUUGAUCGAAGCCCGAGUAAACGGCGGCCGUAACUAUAACGGUCCUAAGGUAGCGAAAUUCCUUGUCAGUUAAAUACUGACCUGCAUGAAUGGCGUAACGAGAUGGGAGCUGUCUCAAAGAGGGAUCCAGUGAAAUUGUAGUGGAGGUGAAAAUUCCUCCUACCCGCGGAAAGACGGAAAGACCCCGUGCACCUUUACUACAGCUUGACACUGUAGCUUGGAUAUUCAUGUGCAGGAUAGGUGGGAGGCUAUGAUGACUAGACGCCAGUAGAGUCGGAGCCAUCCUUGAGAUACCACCCUUGAAUAUUUGAGUUACUAACUGCGAUGAGUUAACCUCAUUCAGGACAAUGUCUGGUGGGUAGUUUGACUGGGGCGGUCGCCUCCUAAAUAGUAACGGAGGCUUACAAAGGUUAGUUCAGAUGGGUUGGAAAUCCAUCGUUGAGUAUAAUGGCAUAAACUAGCUUGACUGUGAGACCAACAAGUCGAACAGAGACGAAAGUCGGUCAUAGUGAUCCGGUGGUUCUGCGUGGAAGGGCCAUCGCUCAAAGGAUAAAAGGUACGCCGGGGAUAACAGGCUGAUCUCCCCCAAGAGCUCACAUCGACGGGGAGGUUUGGCACCUCGAUGUCGGCUCAUCGCAUCCUGGGGCUGUAGUCGGUCCCAAGGGUAUGGCUGUUCGCCAUUUAAAGCGGUACGCGAGCUGGGUUCAGAACGUCGUGAGACAGUUCGGUCCCUAUCUUCCGUGGGCGUAGGAAAGUUGAAGAGAUUUGUCCCUAGUACGAGAGGACCGGGAUGAACCAACCACUGGUGUACCAAUUGUUCUGCCAAGAGCAUCGUUGGGUAGCCACGUUGGGAUGUGAUAAGAGCUGAAAGCAUCUAAGCUCGAAGCCAACUCUAAGAUGAACUUUCCCUGAAGUUCCCAGCAAGACUAGCUGGUUGAUAGGCUGGAUGUGUAAUGGGUGUAAGCCCUUUAGCUGACCAGUACUAAUAGAACGUUUGGCUUAUUUUA